GAAGUGACGACACGAUCGCAUUGUUAAAUAAGACGCGCGAGAGGCGUUCUCUCUCUUCUUCUUAGCGCCAUCUUGUCGACUCCCAUUGCGCCAUGAGAGCCAAGUGGAGGAAGAAGCGAAUGCGUAGGCUGAAACGCAAGAGGAGAAAGAUGAGGCAGAGGUCCAAGUAAACAGAUUGUGCUGACCACAGGCCACAAAAGCAGGGAUGAAAUGACCCUUGGUGACACUGUCGGGAAGGCGGAGAGCUCCGGGCAACACGACCCACCCCUCGGAAGAACUGCUGGCGAUACCAUCUGAUAAAGGGUUCUCACCACCGUUUGACGCCUGCCUGACGAGCGCAUGCCAUCUUCCAAUGCCUGUUCCAUCUUUUGCACAGAUUCCAUCUGCCUGCCUCCCGAUUUCUGUGCCAUGGGACUCUUGUCAUUCUGGACUGAUUUGUCUGUGGCUCAGUGUUAGCACAUCUGUAUAAUAAAUCCUCGCUACUUUCUUGUUCGGAAAAAAAA